CGCCGCAGGCUCGCUGUGGUAAUGUCUGAGAGGCUAAUUCUUCCUUAUGAGGAAAAACAGGACCUUUCCUGAAGGAGACAGACACAUCCCUGCUUCGAUCACGGAGAUAGAGAUUCGGUGAAUCGUUGUGGAUGAACAUACUGGAAAAAGAAGACAGGAUUGUGUGGAAGAAAAGAAAGAGAGCGAGAAGCGAUGCACAAACACAGUGAGAGAGGAACGCAGUCUGAGGUAACGCAAGCUCAGCGCUGACUGAUCUGGCAGGAGCGAUCGGGACUUUCAAGUGGAUGCCGAAGUGUUUCAAUAUCCGUCAAUUGUCCCGAGCCUGCGUCACGACCCUUGCACGAGGAUGAAGAUGGGAUUGAGUUGGAGCUGGCUAUUAAACCGCAGGCUUGAUUAGAGGAUGAUGGGAUUGUCUUGCAGCAAAAUGGGGAAAUGCUCAAGAGCUCCACUUCCCACUCUCAGGCAAGAACAGCCAAAGUAAUGCCUCCCUUGAGAACUCCUGUGUAUGUGUGUGUGUUUGACCCCAGUGAGGACAAAAUAUGCAUGGGUCACUGAGUUCUGCUGGGCUGGAUCACAA